rnacentral:rRNA from 1 species
UACGAAGGGGGCUAGCGUUGUUCGGAAUUACUGGGCGUAAAGCGCACGUAGGCGGAAUGUUAAGUCAGGGGUGAAAUCCCGGGGCUCAACCCCGGAACUGCCUUUGAUACUGGCAUUCGCGAGUCCGGAAGAGGUGAGUGGAAUUCCGAGUGUAGAGGUGAAAUUCGUAGAUAUUCGGAGGAACACCAGUGGCGAAGGCGGCUCACUGGUCCGGUACUGACGCUGAGGUGCGAAAGCGUGGGGAGCAAACAGG